CUACGGGGGGCUCCAGUGAGGAAUAUUGCACAAUGGGGGGAACCCUGAUGCAGCAACGCCGCGUGGAGGAUGACGCAUUUCGGUGUGUAAACUCCUUUUAUAUGUCAAGAAAAUGACGGUAGCAUAUGAAUAAGCACCGGCUAACUCCGUGCCAGCAGCCGCGGUAAUGCGGAGGGUGCAAGCGUUACUCGGAAUCACUGGGCGUAAAGGACGCGUAGGCGGGUUGGAAAGUCAGGUGUGAAAUCCUACAGCUUAACUGUAGAACUGCACUUGAAACUUCUAAUCUAGAGUAUGGGAGGGGGAGAUGGAAUUAGUGGUGUAGGGGUAAAAUCCGUAGAUAUCACUAGGAAUACCUAAAGCGAAGGCGAUCUCCUGGAACAUUACUGACGCUAAGGCGUGAAAGCGUGGGGAGCAAGCAGGAUUAGAUACCCCGGUAGUC
rnacentral:rRNA from 1 species